GGAAAAGAAAUCAACCGAGAUUCCCCCAGUAGCGGCGAGCGAACGGGGAGCAGCCCAGAGCCUGAAUCAGUGUGUGUGUUAGUGGAAGCGUCUGGAAAGGCGCGCGAUACAGGGUGACAGCCCCGUACACAAAAAUGCACAUGCUGUGAGCUCGAUGAGUAGGGCGGGACACGUGGUAUCCUGUCUGAAUAUGGGGGGACCAUCCUCCAAGGCUAAAUACUCCUGACUGACCGAUAGUGAACCAGUACCGUGAGGGAAAGGCGAAAAGAACCCCGGCGAGGGGAGUGAAAAAGAACCUGAAACCGUGUACGUACAAGCAGUGGGAGCACGCUUCGGCGUGUGACUGCGUACCUUUUGUAUAAUGGGUCAGCGACUUAUAUUCUGUAGCAAGGUUAACCGAAUAGGGGAGCCGAAGGGAAACCGAGUCUUAACUGGGCGUUAAGUUGCAGGGUAUAGACCCGAAACCCGGUGAUCUAGCCAUGGGCAGGUUGAAGGUUGGGUAACACUAACUGGAGGACCGAACCGACUAAUGUUGAAAAAUUAGCGGAUGACUUGUGGCUGGGGGUGAAAGGCCAAUCAAACCGGGAGAUAGCUGGUUCUCCCCGAAAGCUAUUUAGGUAGCGCCUCGUGAAUUCAUCUCCGGGGGUAGAGCACUGUUUCGGCAAGGGGGUCAUCCCGACUUACCAACCCGAUGCAAACUGCGAAUACCGGAGAAUGUUAUCACGGGAGACACACGGCGGGUGCUAACGUCCGUCGUGAAGAGGGAAACAACCCAGACCGCCAGCUAAGGUCCCAAAGUCAUGGUUAAGUGGGAAACGAUGUGGGAAGGCCCAGACAGCCAGGAUGUUGGCUUAGAAGCAGCCAUCAUUUAAAGAAAGCGUAAUAGCUCACUGGUCGAGUCGGCCUGCGCGGAAGAUGUAACGGGGCUAAACCAUGCACCGAAGCUGCGGCAGCGACACUAUGUGUUGUUGGGUAGGGGAGCGUUCUGUAAGCCUGUGAAGGUGGCCUGUGAGGGUUGCUGGAGGUAUCAGAAGUGCGAAUGCUGACAUAAGUAACGAUAAAGCGGGUGAAAAGCCCGCUCGCCGGAAGACCAAGGGUUCCUGUCCAACGUUAAUCGGGGCAGGGUGAGUCGACCCCUAAGGCGAGGCCGAAAGGCGUAGUCGAUGGGAAACAGGUUAAUAUUCCUGUACUUGGUGUUACUGCGAAGGGGGGACGGAGAAGGCUAUGUUGGCCGGGCGACGGUUGU
rnacentral:rRNA from 1 species